GUCAAUAGCUAAAAGUAUUACUGAGAUCUUUAAUUUUACAUAACUGGUUAGAUUAAUUCUGCUUUUGUGCAAGAUGGAAAUCUUAAAUAUGCGUUUUGUUCCAAACAGACACAUUACCAUACAAGAAUAUGGAAUGUCAAAUGAUACUGAAAAUUCCUGUGGUUGGAUGCUAAAAGCUGAAGAUAUUAAAACCCGCAACUCCUCCAGAGGAAGUAGUCCUUUGGGAGGCAUUACUGAGGACUGUCUUGAAGAUGGGCAACCAAGAAAACUAGAUGAACUUUUAAAGAGUUUUGACAUGGGUGAAAAGUUCAGGUUUGCAGAUGGAGUGCCUGAUGUUGAACAAGGAAAAAAAGGUGAAGCUGUGAACAGGUAUAUAUAUACUGUGUCCUUCAUGUAACCUGUGAUAUUCCCCAGUUACUGUACAAACGAAAUGCAGUGUUUUUACCAAAACACCAUCAGCAUUUUCAUUCCAUUUUCCUAUGUUAUUGUGACUAUGUGAUGAAGA
rnacentral:lncRNA from 1 species